AACGAACGCUGGCGGCAGGCUUAACACAUGCAAGUCGAACGGUGUAGCAAUACACAGUGGCAGACGGGUGAGGAACACGUGGGAACAUCCCUUUCGGUUCGGAAUAACGUUGGGAAACUAACGCUAAUAUCGGAUACGUCCUUCGGGAGAAAGAUUUAUUGCCGAGAGAUUGGCCCGCGUCUGAUUAGCUAGUUGGUGAGGUAACGGCUCACCAAGGCUACGAUCAGUAGCUGAUCUGAGAGGAUGAUCAGCCACAUUGGGACUGAGACACGGCCCAAACUCCUACGGGAGGCAGCAGUGGGGAAUAUUGGACAAUGGGCGCAAGCCUGAUCCAGCCAUGCCGCGUGAGUGAUGAAGGCCUUCGGGUUGUAAAGCUCUUUUAUCCGGGAAGAUAAUGACUGUACCGGAAGAAUAAGCCCCGGCAAACUUCGUGCCAGCAGCCGCGGUAA
rnacentral:rRNA from 1 species